CACACACAGUCAGACACAUACACAAACACACACACAGUCAGACACACACACAAACAGUCAGACACAAACACACACACAUACACAGUCAGACACACACACACACACACAGUCAGACACACACACACACACACACACAUACACAGUCAGACACAAACACACACAGUCAGACACAAACACACACACAAACACACACAGACACAUACACACACACAAACACAGUCAGACACAUACACAGACACAAACACACACACACACACUCACAAACACACACACAGUCAGACACAAACACACACACACACACACACACAAACACACACACAUUAACUUUUUUUUUAAUUUAAAUCCCCCCCCAACCUCCUUACCUUUGGGAGUGCUGGGGGGGGGUCUCUCUCCCUGGUGGUCCAGUGGCUGCAGGGCGUGCGGCG